rnacentral:misc_RNA from 1 species
GUUGCCCCCGACGGGCCCGUGGCACUGCCCAACGCCUCCCCGGUGCUCUUGCACGGGGGGCGUUUGUUAUUCACCCAUCUCAUGCAAAAUGAGGCUAUAAUUGGCACGGGAUGCAGUUUUAUUCCUUAGCUAAUAGGCAAAAAAGAGGUUCGCCUGGCCCCUUUGCUAGCAAGCCGAUACACUAACAUUUUUAUUUUCGGCAGGCUCUCGUCCCUAACAUGCUUUUUGCUUAUAAGUUAUGUUAUUCUCUUCGUAUACGUGAUUGAAAUAUUACCCAAGAUAUUCCAGUCAUUGGUGCCUUGCAUCUACGCUUACCUUCAUCAUGUGGGGAUGCUAUCUAUGGAGCGCUUCUUGCGUUCUCACUAUGACCCUAAGGUUUUGUGCUUCAUGUUUUAUGGAACAAUUCCCUCAUUGAGUAUAAAGAGCACAAAAUCUAAUAUUGUGCACAUGACAACUCUUCUAUGAUUUUUUCUCUACUUACCUUCCAUGCCGAUAUGGCCAAAUGUUAUGCCCCUAAGCCAAUUCUCCGUGCAAACUUUAAGAAAACCACCCAAUGACAACUCAAAUGGGUUUAUAAUAUUUUUCUGAUGUUCCACAAAAAAUUUGGUGAUUUUCUGAUGAGUUUUCUAUUUUUUAUGAAUUUAUGUAUUUUUC